AAGUUUUAUUUAGUGAAAAAUGUGAAAGAUUUUGCCCAUUGAAAAGAUUAAGAUCAAGUUUGUACUGAUUCUUCAUCAGCACAACUGCCACUGUGCUUUAGAUUUUCCUUGCAAAGGGAGGGAAGAAGAAGAAGAGUGGAGAGAGAACUUCUGUUAGAUAGUUACAUCAGACAAAAACAGGGAAGUAGAUGGUUUCUUAGUGAUUUGUCAUUCUCAUGUGUGAAUGAGAAUUCUAAACUGAUUGAUAAUUAAUAAACUUUUGCAGGCGAGUUUUGUUUCCUGCAUAUGAUUUUACACAAAAUUUACUAGUUUUUCUUGCUACUAAUGCAUACGUGCCUGUUUUUGCUUGGUUGCAGUGGUGCAGGAGCUCACUUAUU
rnacentral:misc_RNA from 1 species